GACAGAGGGUGCAAACGUUGUUCGGAAUUACUGGGCGUAAAGCGCGUGUAGGCUGCUCAGAAAGUCGGAUGUGAAAGCCCUGGGCUUAACCUAGGAAGUGCAUUCGAAACUUCUGAGCUUGAGUUCUGGAGAGGAAGGCGGAAUUCUCGGUGUAGAGGUGAAAUUCGUAGAUAUCGAGAGGAACACCGGUGGCGAAGGCGGCCUUCUGGACAGCUACUGACACUGAGACGCGAAAGCGUGGGUAGCAAACAGG
rnacentral:rRNA from 1 species